rnacentral:rRNA from 1 species
GACGAACGCUGGCGGCGUGCUUAACACAUGCAAGUCGAGCGAUGAAACUACUUCGGUAGUGAAUUAGCGGCGAACGGGUGAGGAACACGUGAGGAAUCUGCCUUCUACACUGGGAUAACUCCGGGAAACCGGGGCUAAUACCGGAUAUGAAACUUGGUGGCAUCACCGAGUUUGGAAAGUUUUUCGGUAGAAGAUGACCUCGCGGCCUAUCAGCUAGUUGGUGAGGUAAUGGCUCACCAAGGCGACGACGGGUAGCCGGCCUGAGAGGGUGACCGGCCACACUGGGACUAAGACACGGCCCAGACUCCUACGGGAGGCAGCAGUGGGGAAUAUUGCACAAUGGGCGAAAGCCUGAUGCAGCAACGCCGCGUGAGGGAUGAAGGCCUUCGGGUUGUAAACCUCUUUUAGCAGGGAAGAAGCGAAAGUGACGG